rnacentral:rRNA from 1 species
UACGUAGGGGGCUAGCAUUGUCCGGAAUCAUUGGGCGUAAAGCGCGUGUAGGCGGCCCGGUAAGUCCGCUGUGAAAGUCGGGGGCUCAACCCUCGAAAGCCGGUGGAUACUGUCGGGCUAGAGUACGGAAGAGGCGAGUGGAAUUCCUGGUGUAGCGGUGAAAUGCGUAGAUAUCUGGAGGAACACCGGUGGCGAAGGCGGCAUUCUGGGACGGUACUGACGCUGAGACGCGAAAGCGUGGGGAGCGAACAGG